UACAGAGGUCCCAAGCGUUGUUCGGAUUUACUGGGCGUAAAGGGAGCGUAGGUGGCAUUCUAAGUUUGAUGUGAAAGCUCUGAGCUUAACUCAGAAAUGGCAUUAGAAACUAGUUUGCUAGAGGAUUGGAGGGGAGAUUGGAAUACUUGGUGUAGCAGUGAAAUGCGUAGAUAUCAAGUGGAACACCAGUGGCGAAGGCGAAUCUCUGGACAAUUCCUGACACUGAUGCUCGAAAGCUAGGGGAGCAAACGGG
rnacentral:rRNA from 1 species